rnacentral:lncRNA from 1 species
AUUUGUAGAAAAGACUAGCCUUCCUCCACUGAAUUGCCAUUGCACCUUUAUCAAAAUCAGUUCAUAUACGUGUGAGUCUGUUUCUGGAUUUUCUAUUCUCUGUUCCACCACUCUAUAUGUCUACCUUUUCACCAAUACGACAGUCUUAAUUAUUCUUUUAUGAGAAGUCUUGAAGUUAGAGAGUGUAAGUCCUCAACUUUGCUCUUCCUUUUUGAAGUUUUUUAGCUAUUCCAGGUCCUUUGAUUUUCCAUCUGAAUUUUAGAGUCAGCUUGUGAAAUUCUAUUUUAAAAUCGCUAUGGGAUUUCAUUGGAAUUGCAUUGAUCAAAUUGGGGAGAAUUGAUAUCUUAACUGUGUUGAGUCUUCUGACCCAUGAAUACAAUAUAUCGCUCCAUUUAUUAAGGUCUUGUAAAAUUUCUCUCAACAGUGUUUCCUAGUUUUUAGUGUAUAGGUCUAGCACAUCUUUUUUCAGAUUUAUCCUAAAUGUGUAAUAUUUGGAUGCAAUUGUAAGUGAUUUUUAAAAUUAAUUUCAAUUUCCAGUGGUCCAUUUCUAGUAUACAGAAAUACAGUUGACUUUUGUAUAUAUUCAUUUGUAUCUUUGCAGCUUUGCUAAAUUCAUUUAUUAUUUCUAGUAGCUUUUUUGUGGAUUUUAUCUUAUUUUCUACAUGCAUGACCAUCUUUCCAAUCUGGAUGCUUUUCAUUCUUUUUCUUGCCUUAUUACACUGGCUAGGACAACAUUGAAUGGAAGUGGUGUCAGUGGGCAUCCUUGUCUUGUUCCUGAGCAUAGAGGGAAACCAUUCAUUCUCUCACCAUUAAUGUGAUGUUAGCAGAGAUCAGAAAAGCUAACGUGUAAAUGGAUCUCUACCACCCAACGUCAUUUCCCAAACUUAGCUGCUCAUUUAUUCAUUUCCUUGGCCAUUUAUUCAUUCAUUCCCCUGUCUACCCACUCAUUUCUUUGUUCAUUCAACAGGUAUUUAUUCAAUAACUGUGAUGUGCCUGGUGUGUGCUAAGACCUGGCAUUCCAUGGUGAGUGAGAAUGACACAGUCCCUGCUCUUGUAGAGUUUUGGUUGAGUAGGGAAGCCAGACAAUAACAAAUAAUCAUGCAAAUAAGUGUACAGUCAGCACGGCAGCCAAUGCUAUCCAAAGUCGGGGAAGGCUUUCCCGAGGCAGCAUUGUUUAAGCUCCACUCC